rnacentral:rRNA from 1 species
UUGGAGGGCAAGUCUGGUGCCAGCAGCCGCGGUAAUUCCAGCUCCAAUAGCGUAUAUUAAAGUUGUUGCAGUUAAAAAGCUCGUAGUUGAAUUUCGGGAUCAAUUUGCUGGUCGUGCCUCUGGUACGUACUGGUAUUAUUGGUUUCUCCCUUCUGACGAACCAUGAUGUCAUUAAUUUGAUGUCGUGGAGAAUCAGGACUGUUACUUUGAAAAAAUUAGAGUGUUUAAAGCAGGCAUUAGCUUGAAUACAUUAGCAUGGAAUAAUGAAAUAGGACGUUUGAUCCUAUUUUGUUGGUUUCUAGGAUUGACGUAAUGAUUAAUAGGGAUAGUUGGGGGCAUUAGUAUUCAAUUGUCAGAGGUGAAAUUCUUGGAUUUAUUGAAGACUAACUACUGCGAAAGCAUUUGCCAAGGAUGUUUUCAUUAAUCAAGAGCGAAAGUUAGGGGAUCGAAGACGAUCAGAUACCGUCGUAGUCUUAACCAUAAACUAUGCCGACUAGGGAUCGGAUGAUGUUAAUUUUUUAAUGACUCAUUCGGCGCCUUACGGGAAAC